rnacentral:rRNA from 1 species
CGUACACUCCUGCGGGAGGCAGCAGUGGGGAAUAUUGGACAAUGGGCGCAAGCCUGAUCCAGCCAUGCCGCGUGAGUGAUGAAGGCCCUAGGGUUGUAAAGCUCUUUCACCGGAGAAGAUAAUGACGGUAUCCGGAGAAGAAGCCCCGGCUAACUUCGUGCCAGCAGCCGCGGUAAUACGAAGGGGGCUAGCGUUGUUCGGAAUUACUGGGCGUAAAGCGCACGUAGGCGGAUCGAUCAGUCAGGGGUGAAAUCCCAGGGCUCAACCCUGGAACUGCCUUUGAUACUGUCGAUCUGGAGUAUGGAAGAGGUGAGUGGAAUUCCGAGUGUAGAGGUGAAAUUCGUAGAUAUUCGGAGGAACACCAGUGGCGAAGGCGGCUCACUGGUCCAUUACUGACGCUGAGGUGCGAAAGCGUGGGGAGCAAACAGGAUUAGAUACCCGUGUAGUCCCAUGA